CACUAACUGGAGGACCGAACCGACUAAUGUUGAAAAAUUAGCGGAUGACCUGUGGCUGGGGGUGAAAGGCCAAUCAAACCGGGAGAUAGCUGGUUCUCCCCGAAAGCUAUUUAGGUAGCGCCUCGUGAAUUCAUCUCCGGGGGUAGAGCACUGUUUCGGCUAGGGGGCCAUCCCGGCUUACCAACCCGAUGCAAACUGCGAAUACCGGAGAAUGUUAUCACGGGAGACACACGGCGGGUGCUAACGUCCGUCGUGAAGAGGGAAACAACCCAGACCGCCAGCUAAGGUCCCAAAGUCAUGGUUAAGUGGGAAACGAUGUGGGAAGGCCCAGACAGCCAGGAUGUUGGCUUAGAAGCAGCCAUCAUUUAAAGAAAGCGUAAUAGCUCACUGGUCGAGUCGGCCUGCGCGGAAGAUGUAACGGGGCUAAACCAUGCACCGAAGCUGCGGCAGCGAACGUAUCACCCAAGACAACUUUACGGAGUUGACGAUUGACGGAGCGAAGCGACGUCAAAGCGUUCAUUAAAGUCGAGUUGGCUUAGGGAUACGUUCGUUGGGUAGGGGAGCGUUCUGUAAGCCUGUGAAGGUGUGUCGUGAGGCAUGCUGGAGGUAUCAGAAGUGCGAAUGCUGACAUAAGUAACGAUAAAGCGGGUGAAAAGCCCGCUCGCCGGAAGACCAAGGGUUCCUGUCCAACGUUAAUCGGGGCAGGGUGAGUCGACCCCUAAGGCGAGGCCGAAAGGCGUAGUCGAUGGGAAACGGGUUAAUAUUCCCGUACUUGGUGUUACUGCGAAGGGGGGACGGAGAAGGCUAUGUUGGCCGGGCGACGGUUGUCCCGGUUUAAGCGUGUAGGUGUGUGUUCCAGGUAAAUCCGGUUCACUUUAACACUGAGGCGUGACGACGAGGCACUACGGUGCUGAAGCAACAAAUGCCCUGCUUCCAGGAAAAGCCUCUAAGCAUCAGGUAACAUCAAAUCGUACCCCAAACCGACA
rnacentral:rRNA from 1 species